GACGAACGCUGGCGGCGUGCCUAAUACAUGCAAGUCGAGCGAGCGGCGGACGGGGGAGUAAUGUCUGGGAAACUGCCUGAUGGAGGGGGAUAACUACUGGAAACGGUAGCUAAUACCGCAUACCAUCAGAUGUGCCCAGAUGGGAUUAGCUAGUAGGUGGGGGAACGGGUCACCUAGGCGACGAUCCCUAGCUGGUAUGAGAGGAUGACCAGCCACACUGGAACUGAGACACGGUCCAGACUGCUACGAGAGGCAGCAGUGGUGAAUAUUGCAAGAUGGGCGCAAGCCUGAUGCAGCCAUGCCGCGUGUGUGAAGAAGGCCUUCGGGUUGUAAAGCACUUUCAGCGUGGAGGCGUUACCCGCAGAAGAAGCACCGGCUAACUCCGUGCCAGCAGCCGCGGUAAUUC
rnacentral:rRNA from 1 species